rnacentral:tRNA from 1 species
UGAUAGAUCCUUUAGA